GUCCAGCAGGUUCUCUAAGAGGCUGCUGACCAGGAGGGCGAAGACCUCCCCAGAACUUCUUACCAUAUGGAAAUUGCCAUUUCCACUGAAAUUGAACUCACACUGCAUCAUAUCAAAGAAAAUGGGGAUUGUGGCUUUCCGGAGCUCUACUUCAGGGGUCAGAGUGACCUCCAGAAUGGGACCCACCAUGGAUGGGAUGAAUUUGAUUUUGUGGGGACCUGAAAUGAAAGUGAAUGAAGAUAUU
rnacentral:lncRNA from 1 species